GUCCAGGAGCGGGAAUCGAACCCACAACCUUCUGCUUACCGGGCAGGUGCCAUGUCCACUAGUCUAUCCUGGA